rnacentral:rRNA from 1 species
UUGAGAUCAAGCGUCUGAAGGGCAUCUGGUGGAUGCCUUGGCACUGAGAGGCGAUGAAGGACGUAGCACGUUGCGAUAAGUCACGGGGAGCCGCGAGCAGGCUUUGAUCCGUGAAUUUCCGAAUGGGGAAACCCACCGCUUCGGCGGUAUCCCGCACUGAAUACAUAGGUGCGGGAAGCGAACCCGGCGAACUGAAACAUCUAAGUAGCCGGAGGAAAGGACAUCAACCGAGACUCCGCUAGUAGUGGCGAGCGAACGCGGACCAGGCCAGUCAUUCGAUCUACAUAACCGGAACCGUC